AUUCUUAUGAAAAUGAAAAUUUUGUACAUACAUACAUAUAUAUUGAAUUUGACUAAAUUAUUAAUAAUAAUAAAACUUUUAACAGAUAUUUGUCCUCUCUACAAACCGGGUAUGAUAGCAACUCUCUCUCUCAUUCGAUUACUUUCGCGCCCGGAAUUAGACCGAUUUAUCUUUCCUUUUUUUCAUGUGUGUUCGCGUCUAGCGUCGUUAAAGAAAAGACUCUUUGACUACUAUUGAAAUGUAUAAAAAUAUGUAUAUAAAUUUAAUUAUGUAUUAAUACUGAUUACGAUAAUAUGAUAUAAUACAAAAGGAAAAUGCGUAAAUAAUAAUAACAACAAGAAUAAUGUAAAAUUGAUUUAUGAGUACAUAAUUAGAAUUAAAAAUGCAUAUUACAAAUUUUGGAUAUGGAUGCGGAUAAUUAAUGGUGGAUUAUAUAUAUAUGUUAAAAUAAACAAAAAAAAAAGAAAAUAUAAAGUUCAAAAUGCCAGGCUAUAUUAAUUUCAAAAGGGGCGGUUUAUUUGGGGACGUACAGAAAAUCCCCUUCCACAACCAUAUCGCUGUAUGGUCUGGUAGCGACUGUCGAGGGGUCUUCCCC
rnacentral:lncRNA from 1 species